UACGUAGGGACCGAGCGUUGUCCGGAAUCAUUGGGCGUAAAGAGCGUGUAGGCGGCCACUUAAGUCCUGCGUGAAAUCUUGCGGCUCAACCGCAAGCGGUCGUGGGAAACUGGGUGGCUAGAGUGCGGGAGAGGAGAGUGGAAUUCCUGGUGUAGCGGUGGAAUGCGCAGAUAUCAGGAAGAACACCAAUGGCGAAAGCAGCUUUCUGGGACGGUACUGACGCUGAGGCGCGAAAGCGUGGGGGAGCAGACAGG
rnacentral:rRNA from 1 species